rnacentral:rRNA from 2 species
GUUUUGAACAUGGCUCAGGACGAACGCCGGCGGCGUGCCUAAUACAUGCAAGUCGAGCGGACAGAUGGGAGCUUGCUCCCUGAUGUUAGCGGCGGACGGGUGAGUAACACGUGGGUAACCUGCCUGUAAGACUGGGAUAACUCCGGGAAACCGGGGCUAAUACCGGAUGCUUGUUUGAACCGCAUGGUUCAAACAUAAAAGGUGGCUUCGGCUACCACUUACAGAUGGACCCCGCGGCGCAUUAGCUAGUUGGUGAGGUAACGGGCUCACCAAGGCAACGAUGCGUAGCCGACCUGAGAGGGUGAUCGGCCACACUGGGACUGAGACACGGCCCAGACUCCUACGGGAGGCAGCAGUAGGGAAUCUUCCGCAAUGGACGAAAGUCUGACGGAGCAACGCCGCGUGAGUGAUGAAGGUUUUCGGAUCGUAAAGCUCUGUUGUUAGGGAAGAACAAGUACCGUUCGAAUAGGGCGGUACCUUGACGGUACCUAACCAGAAAGCCACGGCUAACUACGUGCCAGCAGCCGCGGUAAUACGUAGGUGGCAAGCGUUGUCCGGAAUUAUUGGGCGUAAAGGGCUCGCAGGCGGUUUCUUAAGUCUGAUGUGAAAGCCCCCGGCUCAACCGGGGAGGGUCAUUGGAAACUGGGGAACUUGAGUGCAGAAGAGGAGAGUGGAAUUCCACGUGUAGCGGUGAAAUGCGUAGAGAUGUGGAGGAACACCAGUGGCGAAGGCGACUCUCUGGUCUGUAACUGACGCUGAGGAGCGAAAGCGUGGGGAGCGAACAGGAUUAGAUACCCUGGUAGUCCACGCCGUAAACGAUGAGUGCUAAGUGUUAGGGGGUUUCCGCCCCUUAGUGCUGCAGCUAACGCAUUAAGCACUCCGCCUGGGGAGUACGGUCGCAAGACUGAAACUCAAAGGAAUUGACGGGGGCCCGCACAAGCGGUGGAGCAUGUGGUUUAAUUCGAAGCAACGCGAAGAACCUUACCAGGUCUUGACAUCCUCUGACAAUCCUAGAGAUAGGACGUCCCCUUCGGGGGCAGAGUGACAGGUGGUGCAUGGUUGUCGUCAGCUCGUGUCGUGAGAUGUUGGGUUAAGUCCCGCAACGAGCGCAACCCUUGAUCUUAGUUGCCAGCAUUCAGUUGGGCACUCUAAGGUGACUGCCGGUGACAAACCGGAGGAAGGUGGGGAUGACGUCAAAUCAUCAUGCCCCUUAUGACCUGGGCUACACACGUGCUACAAUGGACAGAACAAAGGGCAGCGAAACCGCGAGGUUAAGCCAAUCCCACAAAUCUGUUCUCAGUUCGGAUCGCAGUCUGCAACUCGACUGCGUGAAGCUGGAAUCGCUAGUAAUCGCGGAUCAGCAUGC